rnacentral:rRNA from 1 species
AUUGAACGCUGGCGGCAGGCUUAACACAUGCAAGUCGAACGGCAGCACGGGAGCAAUCCUGGUGGCGAGUGGCGAACGGGUGAGCAAUGUAUCGGAACGUACCUUUCAGUGGGGGAUAACGUAGCGAAAGUUACGCUAAUACCGCAUAUUCUGUGAGCAGGAAAGCAGGGGAUCGCAAGACCUUGCGCUAUUAGAGGAGUUCGCGGCCGAUAUCAGAUUAGCUAGUUGGUGAGGUAAAGGCUCACCAAGGCGACGAUCUCUAGCUGGUCUGAGAGGAUGAUCAGCCACACUGGGACUGAGACACGGCCCAGACUCCUACGGGAGGCAGCAGUAGGGAAUAUUGGACAAUGGGGGGAACCCUGAUCCAGCCAUGCCGCGUGAGGGAAGAAGGUCCUCUGGAUUGUAAACCUCUUUUGGCAGGAACAAACCUGCGCUAUACGCGCAGCUGAGGGUACCUGCAGAAUAAGCACCGG